rfam:Ovis aries breed Texel chromosome 9, whole genome shotgun sequence.
UCCCUGGUGGUCCAGUGGUUAAGACUUUGCACUGCCCAUGCAAGGGGUAUGGGCUUAAUUCCUUGUCAGGGAA